rnacentral:misc_RNA from 1 species
GAUGAAGAACGCAGCGAAAUGCGAUAAGUAGUGUGAAUUGCAGAAUUCAGUGAAUCAUCGAAUCUUUGAACGCACAUUGCGCCCCUUGGUAUUCCAUGGGGCAUGCCUGUUCGAGCGUCAUUUGUACCUUCAAGCUUUGCUUGGUGUUGGGUGUUUGUCCUGAGGGACUCGCCUUAAAGUAAUUGGCAGCCAGUGUUUUGGUUUUGAAGCGCAGCACAAGUCGCGAUUCAAAGCUAUACGCCAGCUUCCACAAGCCUUUUUCACUUUUGACCUCGGAUCAGGUAGGGAUACCCGCUGAACUUAAGCAAAUCAAUAAGCGGAGGA